GUGGGUACAGCUUAGUGGUAGAGUGUAUGCUUAGCAAGCACAAGGUUCUGGGUUCAAUCCCCAGUACCUCUG
rnacentral:tRNA from 1 species